rnacentral:rRNA from 1 species
AGUGAACGCUGGCGGCGUGCUUAACACAUGCAAGUCGAACGAGAACGGAUUAUAGCUUGCUAUAAUUGUCAGCUAAGUGGCGCACGGGUGAGUAAUGUAUAGGUAAUAUGCCUCUUACUAAGGGAUAACAAAUGGAAACGUUUGCUAAUACCUUAUACUCCUUAUUAACAGAAGUUAAUAAGGGAAAGAUUUAUUGGUAAGAGAUUAGCCUGUAUUGUAUCAGUUAGUUGGUGGGGUAAUGGCUUACCAAGACUAUGACACAUAACUGGUCUGAGAGGAUGAUCAGGCACACUGGAACUGAGACACGGUCCAGACUCCUACGGGAGGCAGCAGUGGGGAAUAUUGCACAAUGGAGGAAACUCUGAUGCAGCAACGCCGCGUGGAGGAUGACGCAUUUCGGUGUGUAAACUCCUUUUACAUUAGGAAGAUAAUGACGGUACUAUAUGAAUAAGCACCGGCUAACUCCGUGCCAGCAGCCG